CCAUUGGUGGUUCAGUGGUAGAAUUCUCUCCUUCCGUAAGGGUGACCAGGGUUCAAUUCUCAGCCAAUGCA
rnacentral:tRNA from 1 species